rnacentral:rRNA from 1 species
UCUGAAUAAAUAUAGAAGGUCCAGCCUGCCCAGUGACAAAGUUAAACGGCCGCGGUACCCUAACCGUGCGAAGGUAGCGCAAUCACUUGUUCUUUAAAUGAGGACUAGUAUGAACGGCAUCACGAGGAUUAUACUGUCUCCCCCCUUUAAUCAGUGAAACUGAUCCCCCCGUGAAGAAGCGGGGAUAAACCUAUAAGACGAGAAGACCCUAUGGAGCUUUAAACUUACACUACUUGUCUACACACAACUCAUAAUAAACAGACAAAGCUACGUGCUAGUUUUUGGUUGGGGUGACCGCGGAGCAAAAUAAAACCUCCACAAUGAAAAGACUUCCCAUCUUAAUCCAAGAGCAACAUCUCAAAGAAUUGGUAAACCAACACAACUGACCCAAACAAUGCUUUGAUCAACGAAC